GGAGAGUACCGCUAAGUGGUCGGCAACUCGCGUGCUAAGCGGGGGCAGACAUUGUUCUGGAGGUUCGACUCCUCUACUCUCCG
rnacentral:tRNA from 1 species